rnacentral:lncRNA from 1 species
UCAUUUGGUAAUGAGCGUAAUCAAAUAAUUCAUAACCCCUUCUGGUAUGGGAUUCCUCAACCCUGUCCGACUGAGAAUAACAUAAACGGCAGGGUUUACCCUAUGUACCAAGUCCGUACACCUUUUUUCAUGAUAUCCGGUAAGCCCUUUUAAUUCAUGUCACUAUUUCAUGCAUAUAUAUGUUUCACUCUUACUCAAGCAAUCAGCAAUCAUGAG